AUCCUCUCCUUUCUCCCUUACACCCAUCGACAGCUUCCAAGGCAAGACAAGUAGACUCCUUCCUCAUUCCUCUUCACCCAUCGGUCCCAAGGCACACGAAGGAGAGAAAAAACUUCUCAAGUCUUCCAUCGCACGGUUCUUCGGUUUCCCCAAAGCCGCGUGAUCUUUCUUCUCCUCAAGCCGAUUCUUCCAUUUCCUAAACCUAAGAUUUCCACCGAAAAUCUCCAAGGAAAAUCAACCUCCCCCAAAUCUUUCAUUUUUGCUCUUUCUCUUCUCGUUGCCAUGUACUUCCGUGGCUUCUAAGGGGACCCAAACAGGUAUGAAUGAUGAGGCUGUGGAGCUGGGUACUGCUGAGGAGGGAAGGGUCGAUGCUUAGAGUUCCCUGUCGGUUCAGUUUUGAGGAUAAUGGUUAUAUUUUUAUGUUUUUAUGAUGG